rnacentral:lncRNA from 1 species
UCCCUCCCCCAGGUCCGCAGGGAGGCAGCAGCGAGGGUGGGUGGAGCACAGGCGCUCUGUGAUCAGGGGGUCUUUGACGCUGCCGGUGGGAAAAGGAAUUUCUUGGAAGAGGAAACGACGAGAGGAGGUGCGGUUCACCCGGGACCCCGCUCAGUCUCCUGUCCCAUCCGACUGGCCCUGUGGCCGCUGUCCCCUGAACCAGCUUCUGGCUGCGCCGCCCCCAACUCUGCCGGGGAGGGUCUCCAGGGCGCCUGCACGCAGCCCAACUGGGGAUCAGGAAACCUCGAGUCUGACCGGCCAGCGCUGGGCCUGGGCGGGGGCGCUGGGGGCCCGCUCCUCCCUGGCUGCCCUGGGCAUCCCGAACGGGCAUCCCGAGCCCGCCACCUCUGGACGCAGCGGGAGGCGUCCCCCACCUCCGGUGAGGGGCUGGACCCUGCAUGGCCAACACCGCUUCCCCUCCCCUUUCCUGGCGGAGCCUAGAAAACAGAACCCGGGCCAGGGUUAUGCCGGCGACGUCCAACAGCUGGGCUGCGGGGGACGGGAGGGGACAAGCCCUUCAGAAGAUGAGACCUGCUGGGGGACAAGGGGGCCCAUCCAGGUGAGGCGCGUCGAGCUCUGAGCCCACCCAUCCCAGGCCCGGCGGGCGGCCUCAGAAUCUCCUGGCUCAUCCGCUUGUGCUGCAACCCGAGGGUGUGUGGGGGAGAAGGAGGGAGAGGGAGGCGGUCCCACGGACGACUAUGCAAGCAGGGUCCCCGAGCCACACUGCCCGGGCACACCCACACCAGGCCACGCGUGGACAUCAGGCCACAUGCGGGCCACGUCAGGAGACGGGCCAGCCAGGCCCAGGGGGCGGAGCCUCCAGGAGGCCAGGGAAGGCAGGUGGGGUGGGGGCGGGGUGUCUCUGAGCCUGGGAGACGGGGUCAGCAUGCCAAGCUCUGCGCGUGCCAGGCUCUGAGGCCGAGCAACGGUGGCUGAUGGCAAGGUCACCUCCAGUGCAGGGCCCCGAGUCCCAGAUAGCCACUGCGAGCACAGGUUUCUGGCUUUGCUCUGACCUGUGCUUGCUGGUGACCCCUGGGCUGCGACCCCUGGGGCAUGACCGCUUGUCUUCUGAGCAGAAGUCUGUGCCACGAUCCCAGGGGAGCCCCGUGGGUUGGAAAUCGUAACGUAAGGUCAACAUUCAUCCAUUAAAGCUGAGAGUCUGGCCGCCCCGGGACCAGCGAGGGCAGAGGUCCAAGAGCGGAGCCCUGCGCCUCAGUGAGGCCAUCGUCAGACCGGGAAGAGGCACUGCGACCCCUUCUCCAGCGCCUCCCAGGCCACGUCCAGCAGGGAGCAGCCCCAGGACCAGUGAAGAGUGGACGGGGAACGCUGCCAAGUGACAGAGGGGCGGGCACGGGAGCAGCUCCUCGGUCUCUGGCUCAGCGCCACUCAGGGUGGGACAGAGCGAGAGGCCACGGCUGCCCCAGGCCAGGCCCCCUCAGCCUUCCUGCCGGGCCGAGGCGUGAGCAGGACAGGCCUCCUUCCCACAUGGAGAAAAGUUUUAAACGUGUCAUCUUUCUCGUCGGGAACACUGGCCUUGGUUUGUUUGCGUUGGUGGCUGAGUGGCCGUCCACCUCUCGUGCCACGGCCUCAACCCAGAGCGGGGGGGUGGUCAGGGCCUGACCCAGGCCCAGAGCUGAGGGGAGCCUGCCUGCACCGACCCAGGCGGCCGCACCUUCGUCCCCGUCUCCUCGGGCUGGGCUUCCGGCCUCAGGCCACGGUUUGCUCCCCGUCUGUGCGCGGCUGCCUGCUGAGGGGCCCAGGCGGGAGCCCAGUGCUGAGCCUGAGCCGGGAGGCGGUGGAUGGGCCGCGGGGCAGCCGGCAGGAAUUGCCUGCCUGGGCGCCUCCCUCGAUGACGACGCAGCGGAGGGGGGUGGGGAGGAGCCGUCGGGCGAGCAGGGGUCACGGGACGGAAGCGCGGGCUCUCCCCGCAAACACGCAGCAAACACGCAGCCAGGCCACAGUGGGUCGUCCCAGCCGACAGGCGCAGGUAAGAGAAGGCUGGGCUUUUCUAAGGGUGGGGUUUUGCCAGGUGAGUAAGAGUUUGAGGGCGAGGCUCCUGACAGGUGAAGGAGUCCUGGGCUCAGGGCAGCAGGUCCAGACCCAGGAGACCCCAGGACCAAGGUAACAGGGGGCCUUGCGACAUGUUACCCGAGACAGGCCUCUCUCGGUCUCCCCUAUGUCUUUCCAGAAAGGCACACGAUCCCCCCAUGAAUAUCGCACGCAUCUUUAACUGGAUUCAUUUCUUGAUAAUUUAUCUAUUUUAUGGCUACUUUAAUGAAGCCGUUUGAAAGUUUUAUUCUUAAGAGAUUGCUGAUGGAACGUUGAAAGGCAAUAACCCCAAACCUUGCUAAGCUCCCUAAGAGUUCAGAUCCCUAUCUUCAGAAACUGGAAAAUUCUGGAACACAAUGGCAUCCCCUCAAAUCAUGCCAGCUUUGUGUCUCCUUUUCCACUCCUGAAGCCUCUGCUUCCUUCUCUCCCGCUGCUUGGGAGGCAUUCAGCUUGAGGCUACAUCAAGCUCCUUGUACCUAUGACUAAUCUGUCAAUGGCUGCACAGUAUUAAAAACUGUGAGGCGUGGGAGUUCUCUUGCGGCGCAGUGGCUUAAAGAUCUGGUAUCGUCAUUGCAACAGCUCAGGUUGCUGCUGUGGCGCAGGUUCAAUCCCCGGCCCAGGAACUUCUGUGUGCUGCAGGUGCAGCCAAAAAAAUUAAAAAGAUAUACACUGUGACAUCAAAUAGAUAAAGAGGGAGUGCUAAAGGGCAGAGAUUUUGUAAAUGGCCAAAACCGCUGUCAGCUUAAAAAAGACUGUAUUUUAUCUCUAAGGUAUUUUAUGUAAGCCUUAUGAAAACCACAAAGCAAAAACCUACAGGCGAUACACAAAAGAUAAAGCGAUUAGGAGUUCCCUGGUAACCUAGCAGGUUAAGGAUCCAGCAUUGACACUGCAGUGGCUGGAUUACUGCAGUGACGCAGGUUCAAUCCCUGGCCCAGGAUUGGGAUUUCUGUGUGUUACAGGCAUGGCCAGAAUAAAAAGGAAAAAAAAAAAAGCACAAAAUGAUAAAAAACAAGACUCAGCUGUAUGCUGUCUAAAGAGAUCCACUUCGGCCGCACGUUAAGGACACACAGGCUCAGAGGGAGGGACGGAAGAGAGACACUCCAUGCAAAGCGGAAAGCAAAGACCGCAAGAGUAACUAAAAUUUUUAAAAGACUCUAAGUCAAAAGUGCAACAAGAGGCAAAGAAGGUCGUUACAUCAUGAUGAAGGGGUCAACUCAUCAGUUUUUCAAGAGGCUACAACAACUGGAAAUGCAUAAAGACUUCACGGCACUGAUUUUUUGAAAAGAUAAAACAAAACUGACAAACCUUUAGCUAGACCAAGUAGAUUGGAAAGAAGAUUCGAAUAAAUAAAACCAGAAAUAUAAGGAGACAUCCAGCUGAUACCACAGAAAUACAAAGGAUCGUAGGCAACUACCACGAGCAAUCACACACCAAUGAACUGGGUAGCCGAGAUGGACCAAUUCCUAGAAACAUACAACCUACACAGACUGCAUCAUCAUCAGACAGACAGCCUGGACAGACCAGUAACAAGCAAAGAGACUGAAUCCUUAAACGAAAACCUCCCACCUCGGAGCAGCCCCUAGCAAGAGGAAUUUACUGCUGAAUUCUACCAAACAUGUAGAGGAAAGUUGAUGCUGGCGUUCCCGUCGUGGCUCAGCGGUCAUGAACCCGACUAGGAACCAUGAGGAUGUGGGUUCGAUCCCUGGCCUCACUCAGUGGGUUAAGGAUCCGGGGUUGCUGUGAGCGGCGGUGCAGGUCGCAGGCACGGCUUGCAUCCUGUGUGGCUGUGGCGUAGGCCGGCGGCUGCAGCUACAAUUCGACCCCUAGCCUGGGAACUUCCACAUGCCAUGGAUGCAGCCCCAAAAAGCAAAAGAAAAAAAAAAAAAAAAAGAAAAAGAAAAAGAAAGAAAGAAACUGAACCAAAUGAGAGAUCUAUACAUUAAAAAAUUGUAAGACAUUGAUGACAGAAACUCAAGACACAAAUAAUUGGAAAGAUACCCUGUGUACAUGGGUUGGAAGCAUUAAUAUGAUUAAAAUGUCUCUAUUACACAAACCAUCUACAGAUUCAAUGAAACCCCCAUGAAAAUUCCAAUGGUGUUUUCACAGACAGAGAAAAAACAAUCCUAAAAUUCCUGUGGACCCACAGAAGGCCUGAAUGGCCAAAGCACUCCCGAGGACGAACAAAGCUGGAGGCACAACAUUGCCUAAGAUAUUACAAAGCUGUAGUCAUCAAAAGAGCAUGGUACUGCCGUAAACACACGGGCCGCUACGACAAACGAGAGCCCAGAAACAAACCCGCACACACACAGUCAACUUGUAUUUAACAGGGGAACCAAGGCGUUCCCGUCGUGGCACAGCAGAAAUGAAUCUGACUAGGAACCGUGAGGUUGCAGGUUCGAUCCCUGGCCUCGCAGUGGGUUAAGGAUCCUGCGUUGCUGUGGCUGUGGUACAGGCCGGCAGCUGCAGCUCCGAUUAGACCCCUAGCCUGAGAGCCUCCAUAUGC